CCUACGGGUGGCAGCAGUGAGGAAUAUUGGUCAAUGGCCGAGAGGCUGAACCAGCCAAGUCGCGUGAGGGAAGACGGACCUACGGGUUGUAAACCUCUUUUGUCGGGGAGCAAAGCGAGUCACGUGUGACUCAUUGAGAGUACCCGAAGACAAAGCAUCGGCAAACUCCGUGCCAGCAGUCGCGGUAAUACGGAGGAUGCGAGCGUUAUCCGGAUUUAUUGGGUUUAAAGGGUGCGCAGGCGGAGGGGCAGGUCAGCGGUCAAGUUGCGGGGCUCAACCCCGUACUGCCGUUGAAACUGCAGCCCUUGAGUGCGCGAGAAGUAGGCGGAAUGCGUGGUGUAGCGGUGAAAUGCAUAGAUAUCACGCAGAACUCCGAUUGCGAAGGCAGCAUACCGGCGCGCAACUGACGCUCAUGCACGAAAGCGUGGGUAUCGAACAGGAUUAGAUACCCUUGUAGUC
rnacentral:rRNA from 1 species